GAUGAACGCUGGCGGCGUGCCUAAUACAUGCAAGUCGAGCGAACGGACGAGAAGCUUGCUUCUCUGAUGUUAGCGGCGGACGGGUGAGCAACACGUGGAUAACCUACCUAUAAGACUGGGAUAACUUCGGGAAACCGGAGCUAAUACCGGAUAAUAUUUUGAACCGCAUGGUUCAAAAGUGAAAGACGGUCUUGCUGUCACUUAUAGAUGGAUCCGCGCUGCAUUAGCUAGUUGGUAAGGUAACGGCUUACCAAGGCAACGAUGCAUAGCCGACCUGAGAGGGUGAUCGGCCACACUGGAACUGAGACACGGUCCAGACUCCUACGGGAGGCAGCAGUAGGGAAUCUUCCGCAAAGGGCGAAAGCCUGACGGAGCAACGCCGCGUGAGUGAUGAAGGUCUUCGGAUCGUAAAACUCUGUUAUUAGGGAAGAACAUAUGUGUAAGUAACUGUGCACAUCUUGACGGUACCUAAUCAGAAAGCCACGGCUAACUACGUG
rnacentral:rRNA from 1 species